CCUUCCCAUUAACAUCAUCAAACUCGACAAAACCAGGCCACUUAAGUGACUCGGAUUCAAAAAGAGAAAAACCAGCAUCAGGUUGGCCUCUCCGUAUGUAUCUGUCAAUCAAACAGAAUAAUAAAUUAAACAACUGAUUAUC